rnacentral:rRNA from 1 species
UUGAUAUGCUUAAGUUCAGCGGGUAUCCCUACCUGA